AAAUCUUAUAAUGCAGAAUGACUCUGGGAUAUGCAAUAUAUUUCUAUUCAUUAAACAUUUUCAGGCACUGUGAAAGACACUUGGAAUGUAAAUAAAUGUUACAUAUGUGCCCUCAAGGAUCUCACAAUCCAGAGAAAGAAGUUAACAAGCUGAUCUUAAAACUAAUACAGAAAUGCAAGAGACACAAAAUAGUCAAAGCAAUGUUAAUAAUGAAGAACAAAGUUGAAGGACUCACGCUUCCUAAUUUCCAAACUUACUACAAAACAACAGUUAUAAAGAAAGAAUGAUACAGGCAUAAAGGUUGGAGUCCAGUGGCGCAAUCAGGGUUCACUGCAGCUCCCACCUUCCUGGACUCAAGUGAUCCUCCCACCUCGGCCUCUCAAAGUGCUGGGAUUAUGGGCAUGAGCCACCCCACCU